rnacentral:rRNA from 1 species
AUGCCACGCUUCCCAACACCUGGCGCGACGGAGAUUAGGCAAUUCCGCCCGAUUACCGUGAUCAAUGUGAUCUCCCGUAUCUUUCCAAAGGGGUACGCCAAUAGAGUGACCCCUUUGGCCAACAGCAUCACCCAGCCGGAUCAGUCGGCCUUCAUCCAGGGCCGGUGCGUCCCUGACGGAGUCCUAGUCUUUCACGAGGUACUCCAUGAGGCCCGCACCAAUCAUCUAAAGGCCGUCUUCCUGAAGAUCGACUUCCAUAAGGCCUAUGACACCGUCAGCUGGCCGUUCCUUCGGGAAGUGUUGAUUAGGAAGGGCUUCGAUGACUGA